GAUGAACGCUGGCGGCGUGCCUAAUACAUGCAAGUCGAGCGAACGGACGAGAAGCUUGCUUCUCUGAUGUUAGCGGCGGACGGGUGAGUAACACGUGGAUAACCUACCUAUAAGACUGGGAUAACUUCGGGAAACCGGAGCUAAUACCGGAUAAUAUUUUGAACCGCAUGGUUCAAAAGUGAAAGACGGUCUUGCUGUCACUUAUAGAUGGAUCCGCGCUGCAUUAGCUAGUUGGUAAGGUAACGGCUUACCAAGGCAACGAUGCAUAGCCGACCUGAGAGGGUGAUCGGCCACACUGGAACUGAGACACGGUCCAGACUCCUACGGGAGGGAGCAGUAGGGAAUCUUCCGCAAUGGGCGAAAGCAUGACGGAGCAACGCCGCGUGAGUGAUGAAGGUCUUCGGAUCGUAAAACCCUGUUAUUAGGGAAGAACAAAUGUGUAAGUAACUGUGCACAUCUUGACGGUACCUAAUCAGAAAGCCACGGCUAACUACGUG
rnacentral:rRNA from 1 species